CUGGCUCAGGAUGAACGCUGGCGGCGUGCCUAAUACAUGCAAGUCGAACGAAACUUCUUUAUCACCGAGUGCUUGCACUCACCGAUAAAGAGUUGAGUGGCGAACGGGUGAGUAACACGUGGGCAACCUGCCCAAAAGAGGGGGAUAACACUUGGAAACAGGUGCUAAUACCGCAUAACCAUAGUUACCGCAUGGUAACUAUGUAAAAGGUGGCUAUGCUACCGCUUUUGGAUGGGCCCGCGGCGCAUUAGCUAGUUGGUGAGGUAAAGGCUUACCAAGGCAAUGAUGCGUAGCCGAACUGAGAGGUUGAUCGGCCACAUUGGGACUGAGACACGGCCCAAACUCCUACGGGAGGCAGCAGUAGGGAAUCUUCCACAAUGGGCGAAAGCCUGAUGGAGCAACGCCGCGUGGGUGAAGAAGGUCUUCGGAUCGUAAAACCCUGUUGUUAGAGAAGAAAGUGCGUGAGAGUAACUGUUCACGUUUCGACGGUAUCUAACCAGAAAGCCACGGCUAACUACGUGCCAGCAGCCGCGGUAAUACGUAGGUGGCAAGCGUUAUCCGGAUUUAUUGGGCGUAAAGGGAACGCAGGCGGUCUUUUAAGUCUGAUGUGAAAGCCUUCGGCUUAACCGGAGUAGUGCAUUGGAAACUGGGAGACUUGAGUGCAGAAGAGGAGAGUGGAACUCCAUGUGUAGCGGUGAAAUGCGUAGAUAUAUGGAAGAACACCAGUGGCGAAAGCGGCUCUCUGGUCUGUAACUGACGCUGAGGUUCGAAAGCGUGGGUAGCAAACAGGAUUAGAUACCCUGGUAGUCCACGCCGUAAACGAUGAAUGCUAAGUGUUGGAGGGUUUCCGCCCUUCAGUGCUGCAGCUAACGCAAUAAGCAUUCCGCCUGGGGAGUACGACCGCAAGGUUGAAACUCAAAGGAAUUGACGGGGGCCCGCACAAGCGGUGGAGCAUGUGGUUUAAUUCGAAGCAACGCGAAGAACCUUACCAGGUCUUGACAUCUUCUGACAAUCCUAGAGAUAGGACUUUCCCUUCGGGGACAGAAUGACAGGUGGUGCAUGGUUGUCGUCAGCUCGUGUCGUGAGAUGUUGGGUUAAGUCCCGCAACGAGCGCAACCCUUAUUGUUAGUUGCCAGCAUUAAGUUGGGCACUCUAGCAAGACUGCCGGUGACAAACCGGAGGAAGGUGGGGAUGACGUCAAAUCAUCAUGCCCCUUAUGACCUGGGCUACACACGUGCUACAAUGGACGGUACAACGAGUCGCAAGACCGCGAGGUUUAGCAAAUCUCUUAAAGCCGUUCUCAGUUCGGAUUGUAGGCUGCAACUCGCCUACAUGAAGUCGGAAUCGCUAGUAAUCGCGGAUCAGCAUGCCGCGGUGAAUACGUUCCCGGGCCUUGUACACACCGCCCGUCACACCAUGAGAGUUUGUAACACCCAAAGCCGGUGGGGUAACCUUUUGGAGCCAGCCGUCUAAGGUGGGACAGAUGAUUGGGGUGAAGUCGUA
rnacentral:rRNA from 2 species